rnacentral:rRNA from 1 species
GAUGAACGCUGGCGGCGUGCCUAAUACAUGCAAGUCGAGCGAACGGACGAGAAGCUUGCUUCUCUGAUGUUAGCGGCGGACGGGUGAGUAACACGUGGAUAACCUACCUAUAAGACUGGGAUAACUUCGGGAAACCGGAGCUAAUACCGGAUAAUAUUUUGAACCGCAUGGUUCAAAAGUAAAAGACGGUCUUGCUGUCACUUAUAGAUGGAUCCGCGCCGCAUUAGCUAGUUGGUAAGGUAACGGCUUACCAAGGCAACGAUGCAUAGCCGACCUGAGAGGGUGAUCGGCCACACUGGAACUGAGACACGGUCCAGACUCCUACGGGAGGCAGCAGUAGGGAAUCUUCCGCAAUGGGCGAAAGCCUGACGGAGCAACGCCGCGUGAGUGAUGAAGGUCUUCGGAUCGUAAAACUCUGUUAUUAGGGAAGAACAUAUGUGUAAGUAACUGUGCACAUCUUGACGGUACCUAAUCAGAAAGCCACGGCUAACUACGUGCCAGCAGCCGCGGUAAUACGUAGGUGGCAAGCGUUAUCCGGAAUUAUUGGGGCGUAAAGCGCGCGUAGGCGGUUUUUUAAGUCUGAUGUGAAAGCCCACGGCUCAACCGUGGAGGGUCAUUGGAAACUGGAAAACUUGAGUGCAGAAGAGAAAAGUGAAAUUCCAUGUGUAGCGGUGAAAUGCGCAGAGAUAUGGAGGACACCCAGUGGCGAAGGCGACUUUCUGGUCUGUAACUGACGCUGAUGUGCGAAAGCGUGGGGAUCAAACAGGAUUAGAUACCCUGGUAGUCCACGCCGUAAACGAUGAGUGCUAAGUGUUAGGGGGUUUCCGCCCCUUAGUGCUGCAGCUAACGCAUUAAGCACUCCGCCUGGGGAGUACGACCGCAAGGUUGAAACUCAAAGGAAUUGACGGGGACCCGCACAAGCGGUGGAGCAUGUGGUUUAAUUCGAAGCAGCGCGAAGAACCUUACCAAAUCUUGACAUCCUUUGACAACUCUAGAGAUAGAGCCUUCCCCUUCGGGGGACAAAGUGACAGGUGGUGCAUGGUUGUCGUCAGCUCGUGUCGUGAGAUGUUGGGUUAAGUCCCGCAACGAGCGCAACCCUUAAGCUUAGUCGCCAUCAUUAAGUUGGGCACUCUAAGUUGACUGCCGGUGACAAACCGGAGGAAGGUGGGGAUGACGUCAAAUCAUCAUGCCCCUUAUGAUUUGGGCUACACACGUGCUACAAUGGACAAUACAAAGGGCAGCGAAACCGCGAGGUCAAGCAAAUCCCAUAAAGUUGUUCUCAGUUCGGAUUGUAGUCUGCAACUCGACUACAUGAAGCUGGAAUCGCUAGUAAUCGUAGAUCAGCAUGCUACGGUGAAUACGUUCCCGGGUCU